rnacentral:rRNA from 1 species
UACGGGGGGGGCAAGCGUUGUUCGGAUUUACUGGGCGUAAAGGGCGCGUAGGCGGCGAAUCAAGUCAGCUGUGAAAUCUCCGAGCUUAACUCGGAACGGUCAGCUGAUACUGUUUUGCUAGAGUGCAGAAAGGGCAACCGGAAUUCUUGGUGUAGCGGUGAAAUGCGUAGAUAUCAAGAGGAACACCUGAGGCGAAGGCGGGUUGCUAGGCUGACACUGACGCUGAAGCGCGAAAGCUAGGGUAGCAAACGGG